UACGAAGGGGGCUAGCGUUGUUCGGAAUUACUGGGCGUAAAGCGCACGUAGGCGGAUACUUAAGUCAGGGGUGAAAUCCCGGGGCUCAACUCCAGAACUGCCUUCGAUACUGGAAAGCUCGAGUCCGGGAGAGGUGAGUGGAACUGCGGAAGUGUAGAGGUGAAAUUCGUAGAUUAUUCGCAAGAACACCAGUGGCGAAGGCAGGCCUCAGCUGG
rnacentral:rRNA from 1 species